rnacentral:rRNA from 1 species
UACGAAGGGGGCUAGCGUUGCUCGGAAUCACUGGGCGUAAAGCGCACGUAGGCGGUUUGCUAAGUCAGGGGUGAAAUCCUGGAGCUCAACUCCAGAACUGCCUUUGAUACUGGCGGACUUGAGUCCGGGAGAGGUGAGUGGAACUGCGAGUGUAGAGGUGAAAUUCGUAGAUAUUCGCAAGAACACCAGUGGCGAAGGCGGCUCACUGGCCCGGUACUGACGCUGAGACGCGAAAAGCGUGGGGAGCAAACAGG